rnacentral:lncRNA from 1 species
UUAAAUGAGACGUGUCAGUGGGGUGUGGGGGGACUAGAUCAGACCGUUUGCUGAAUCUGUUGAUAUUCACCGACUGUUCUGGUCCAGAUUGUCACCAUUCCUCAGUGUAUCAAUUCUUGAAUACUUUACCCACCGAUGAACAAACAAAGUUCAUAUACAACUUUAGCAGCCAAGCCUCUGCAAAAUUUUCAUGUGAAAGAAGGAAAUCGGACAAGCUGCCAAGCAUAUUAUAUUAUUUUCUAAAUCACCUCUGCCAUGUCAAACCAGACAAGGCAAAGGUCAAAUACUCAG